AAGGAAUAUUGGGCAAUGGACGAAAGUCUGACCCAGCCAUGCCGCGUGAAGGAUUAAGGUCCUCUGGAUUGUAAACUUCUUUUCUCUGGGGCGAAAACCAGCUAUUCUUAGCUAUUUGACAGUACCAGAGGAAUAAGCACCGGCUAACUCCGUGCCAGCAGCCGCGGUGAUACGGAGGGUGCAAGCGUUAUCCGGAUUCACUGGGUUUAAAGGGUGCGUAGGUGGGCUAGUAAGUCCGUGGUGAAAUCCCCGAGCUUAACUUGGGAACUGCCAUUGAUACUAUUAGUCUUGAAUAUCGUGGAGGUAAGCGGAAUAUGUCAUGUAGCGGUGAAAUGCUUAGAUAUGACAUAGAACACCAAUUGCGAAGGCAGCUUGCUACACGGUCAUUGACACUGAGGCACGAAAGCGUGGGGAGCAAA
rnacentral:rRNA from 1 species